AGACAGCAGUCGCCGCGGUAAUACGUAGGUGGCAAGCGUUGUCCGGAGUUAUUGGGCGUAAAGGGCUCGCAGGCGGUUUCUUAAGUCUGAUGUGAAAGCCCCCGGCUCAACCGGGGAGGGUCAUUGGAAACUGGGAAACUUGAGUGCAGAAGAGGAGAGUGGAAUUCCACGUGUAGCGGUGAAAUGCGUAGAGAUGUGGAGGAACACCAGUGGCGAAGGCGACUCUCUGGUCUGUAACUGACGCUGAGGAGCGAAAGCGUGGGGAGCGAACAGGAUUAGAUACCCCAGUAGUCCCUGUCUCUUAUAC
rnacentral:rRNA from 1 species